rnacentral:rRNA from 1 species
UAGGGAAUCUUCGGCAAUGGACGAAAGCCUGACCGAGCAACGCCGCGUGAGUGAAGAAGGCUUUCGGAUCGUAAAACUCUGUUGUUAGAGAAGAACAAGGACGUUAGUAACUGAACGUCCCCUGACGGUAUCUAACCAGAAAGCCACGGCUAACUACGUGCCAGCAGCCGCGGUAAUACGUAGGUGGCAAGCGUUGUCCGGAUUUAUUGGGCGUAAAGCGAGCGCAGGCGGUUUCUUAAGUCUGAUGUGAAAGCCUCCGGCUCAACCGGAGAGGGUCAUUGGAAACUGGGAGACUUGAGUGCAGAAGAGGAGAGUGGAAUUCCAUGUGUAGCGGUGAAAUGCGUAGAUAUAUGGAGGAACACCAGUGGCGAAGGCGGCUCUCUGGUCUGUAACUGACGCUGAGGCUCGAAAGCGUGGGGAGCAAACAGG